CAGAAAAUAAUAGCACUGAUUUGUACACUUCAAUCGCUCAACUCAACAAUCAUUGGACACAGCUUCGCGCUCAUACUUGCUUCGUUGUCAGGGUUUGUUAAGUAUUUGUCUGCAAUAUCACUGGGCUGCUUAUGACAAUUCAGGUGAAUCACUAAAUACUGCGGAUCAUGCUACAUUUGACAACCAUACAUCAUAUAUGGGAAGUAUAAAUGGACCCAAGUUACCUCUGGUGUUUGAAGUGCAGCAGAUGCCACAUGAUUUAACUACAGAAGGAUGUCCAAAGAACAAUUUUCAAAACAGUUGUAUAUUCAAUAAGGCUCCAAUUUCAGCAAUCAUGAAUACGAAAACAUACGAGGAAGAUACCUGUGUCGACAAGUCAAAUCCUCAGCAUGAAAGUUUUAUCAAGAGAUACAGCAUCAAGUUGGCAUCCACAA